UAGAGGAAAUUCAGGACAGU
rnacentral:piRNA from 1 species